CUCUAUUAGUAAUAAUUAAUAGUAAGAUCUGCUCCAUGGAUAAUAAAUAGCCGCAAUUUGUGCAAAGGUAGCAUAAUCAUUUGUCUUUUAAAUGAAGACUAGAACAAAAGAUUUAACAUUUCAAUAUAUUUUCCUAAUAUAUACAAUUAAAUUUUUCCAAGAUGUAAAAAGACAUCUAUAUACAAGAAAGACGAUAAGACCCUAUUGAACUUUACUUUAGUUAAACUGGGGCAGUAAAUUAAUUAUUAUUUUAAUUUAGAUUAAUAAACAAAUAUCUAAUAAAAUUAAAUAAUUCAGUUACCAUAGGGAUAACAGCGUAAUAGUAUUUUAAAGAUCUUAUUAAAAAAACAGAUUACGACCUCGAUGUUGAAUUAAUACCCUAAUUAAGGCAAAACUUAAAAAAGGAAGUCUGUUCGACUUUUAAAAAAUUACAUGAUUUGAGUUCAGACCGGCGUAAGCCAGGUCGGUUUCUAUCUUCUAAAUAAUUUUUUACAGUACGAAAGGACCUAAAAAUAUAAUU
rnacentral:rRNA from 1 species